GACGAACGCUGGCGGCGCGCCUAACACAUGCAAGUCGAACGGAGUUGAGAGGAGCUUGCUUUUCUUAACUUAGUGGCGAACGGGUGAGUAACGCGUGAGUAACCUGCCCUGGAGUGGGGGACAACAGUUGGAAACGACUGCUAAUACCGCAUAAGCCCACGGUACCGCAUGGUACUGGGGGAAAAGGAUCAAUUCGCUUCAGGAUGGACUCGCGUCCAAUUAGCUAGUUGGUGAGGUAACGGCCCACCAAGGCGACGAUUGGUAGCCGGACUGAGAGGUUGAACGGCCACAUUGGGACUGAGACACGGCCCAGACUCCUACGGGAGGCAGCAGUGGGGGAUAUUGCACAAUGGGGGAAACCCUGAUGCAGCGACGCCGCGUGGAGGAAGAAGGUUUUCGGAUUGUAAACUCCUGUCGUUAGGGACGAUAAUGACGGUACCUAACAAGAAAGCACCGGCUAACUACGUG
rnacentral:rRNA from 1 species